ACUGCGGUUGCGCAAAAUGGUAAAACCCCAAAACCCUGGAUGGCCGGAUGUGCUGUUGCUGGAUCGAUUGAUAUGUUUCCAAUUACUGUUCUACGCCGACAAGUAGCUGUUGCUUCGUGCUGAGUUCUUACUGCUUUGCUCGUUUCUUCGACAGUGAAAAUGUGGAAGCAAGUGUUGGAACUCAUCGUUUCCUAUUAUUUGCUAUGUUUCAUGCUCAAAAUAGCAUCCAUGGUCGUUUAUUAUGAAUUCACCAGACCGUUGUAGUGAACCUACACUAUAAUAUGCCUCGGUUUUUCCCAUUUCUCCUGUUUCCCAAGUGUUGCCAUGUUGGUACAUGGUUUUCACAAUUUUCAAAUAAAAAAACCCAUGGUCAAAUGCCAAUUACUUAUAAUAAUUAGUUAAUUUGAAACAUCCAGAGUUUGCAUUUCUGGAUCAAGUACUAUGCAAUCCAGCAAUUCCACAUAUCCAAAUAUGAUACAAGCACUUACAAGAAACA